CUAGGACCUGCCUAGUAGUGGGGGAUAACGUCCGGAAACGGGCGCUAAUACCGCAUACGUCCUACGGGAGAAAGUGGGGGAUCUUCGGACCUCACGCUAUUAAAUGAGCCUAGGUCGGAUUAGCUAGUUGGUGAGGUAAUGGCUCACCAAGGCGACGAUCCGUAACUGGUCUGAGAGGAUGAUCAGUCACACUGGAACUGAGACACGGUCCAGACUCCUACGGGAGGCAGCAGUGGGGAAUAUUGGACAAUGGGCGAAAGCCUGAUCCAGCCAUGCCGCGUGUGUGAAGAAGGUCUUCGGAUUGUAAAGCACUUUAAGUUGGGAGGAAGGGCAGUUACCUAAUACGUGAUUGUUUUGACGUUACCGACAGAAUAAGCACCGGCUAACUCUGUGCCAGCAGCCGCGGUAAUACAGAGGGUGCAAGCGUUAAUCGGAAUUACUGGGCGUAAAGCGCGCGUAGGUGGUUUGUUAAGUUGGAUGUGAAAGCCCCGGGCUCAACCUGGGAACUGCAUCCAAACUGGCAAGCUAGAGUAUGGUAGAGGGUUGGUGGAAUUUCCUGUGUAGCGGUGAAAUGCGUAAUAUAGGAAGGAACACCAGUGG
rnacentral:rRNA from 1 species